rnacentral:lncRNA from 1 species
ACAAUAAGAUCAGCCACGGCCAGCUCCUGACAUGAGUGUUCCUGGCACACCGUGCUCCUGCAAACAGAUGCUCCUGUCACCUUGUGCACCUGACUCCCGUGCUCCUAUAUUCAGUGCUCCUAAAACCAGUGCGCCUAAAACCAGUGCGCCUAAAACCAGUGCUUCUGCUAUCUCCUGCUCCUGCCAUCUAGUUCCUGGCACCUCCUGCUCUUAACAUCAGGACUCAUACCACAGUGCUCCUGCCACCAAGUUCCUAGCUCCAGCCAAAGUGCUCCUGACAGCAGUGCGCCUAACACCAGUGUUCCUGACAUCAAGCUCCUAAAACUAGUGCUCCUGCCACAGUGCUCAGGUUACAAGGCUCUGGACAACAGUGCACCUGAAACACAAUGCUCCUCCUACACCUGCUCCUACCACAGUGCUCCUGCCACAGUGUCCCUGACACCAAUGCUCCUGACUCCAAUGCUCCACCCACAGUGCUCCACCCACAGUGCUCCUGCCACAGUGCUCCUGCUAUGACCUGCUCCUACUCCCUCCUCCUGCUGCUGCAAUGCUCCUGCACCAGUGCUCCUGUAACCUCCUGCUCCUGCCACCAUAUGAUCCUGACAACAGGGCUCCUUCCACCAUGUGAUCCUGACUCCAAUGCUCCUGCCACAGUGCUGCUGACAGGACAUGCUCGUGACACCAUGUGCUCCUGCUACCUCCUACUCCUACCACCAGUAUUCCUGACAUCAAUGCUCCUUACACCAGUACUUCUGGAACUAGUGACCCAGACACCAAGGGUCUAGACUUUAGUCCUUCUGACUCCAGUGUUGCUGACUCCAGUGCUCCUGAAUCCAAUGUUCUUGACUCCAGUGCUCCUGACUCCAGUGCUCCUGAAUCCAGUGUUCCUGACUCCAGUGCUCCUGACUUUAGUCUUCCUGACAACAGUGCUCCUGCCACAGUGCUCCUGCUAACUCCUCCUCCUUGCACAGUGCUCCUCCUAACAGUACUCCUGCCAGUGCUCCUGCUAUCACCUGCUUCUAACACCAGUGCUCCUGAGACCACCACUUUCCCUCUUCAGACUCUGAACAAAAUAAACCUGUCUUUCUUUAAGCUGUCA